AGACAAAACAGUUACAAAAUUUGAAUGGCAGCGCGUGAGGGGGCGGGGGAUGGGGAGUGAAUGAUUGAAUGAGCGACUGAAUGAAUGAAUGCAUGAUUGAGUGAGUGUCUGCCUAUCCUCCUCUCCUCCAAUGAGCCCCCACCGAUGCAAAUGCUUUCAAGUCGUUUGCCAAUGCAAUUGGCAAACAAGGAAGCAAAACGAGCUGCUGUCAAUUCAAAAUGAUCCGCACAGACAGUUAAAAUAGAAAAAAUGUUCCAGGCAUGGAAAGGAGAGGGUCUAUCGCCGGCAAGAAGCAGAAUCCUCCGCCACUCAGGCGACGCCACAAAAAUAAAAGACUAGGAAGUAUU
ensembl:ncRNA lncRNA:CR45118 long non-coding RNA:CR45118